UCUCCCUUCUGAACACCAAUGGCAAGCCCAGGUUAUCAUCUGUGUUUCUGACUGAACAGCUAUAGAUGUGAGGUUCCAAUGACCCCCCUCCUU